rnacentral:tRNA from 1 species
ACGACCGUGGUGUAACGGCUAUCAUGGCUGCCUUGCGAGGCAGUCGACCCGGGUUCGACUCCCGGCGGUCGCG